AUCAAAUAAGGGCAAACUAUCCGAGAGGGUAGGACGCAAAGUUGUAAGCCUUAAAGUGUAAACGAAGGCGGUUUAACUGCAAUC
rnacentral:ncRNA from 1 species